AUUUAAAUUAAACGCCGGUUGAGUAAUCCGCAUCAUAAACGCGUGUUAUUCCUGCGCACAUGGCAGGCGUGGUUCUAUAAAUAAAAAAGAAUUUGCUGGAAAAUUGAAUAUCGAAGUGCGCGCAUGCGCCGUGUACCCAAAGACAAAAUUACAGCUUAAUUACGAAUCUCAUUGAUUGUGAAUACUCACAAACACAUAAACACACACACACAGAGAAUGGAUAAAUAAGUGCGGCAUGAGUUGUAGUUAUACUUAAGUGAGUUUAGUUUAGUUUACGAGACGAGCGCACGCCGCCCACACGACAAUAACACAAUAACAAGACCACCGAAAGACACUUUGUAAGCGAAUAUCUAAAUAUCCAAAGCGUCGAGUAAUCGUUUUCUGCAUAAAACACUGCGCAUGCGUAUUGACCUUGAAACAUGCACACACAUUGUUCGUUUUCCCAAAUGACAUCAUAAUACGCAUAGAAUAAUAAAUCUUUUCGAGUUCAUUUCGCUACAAAUUCACCGAUACGAGUGCAGAUUAGGAUGGCGUGACGAACACACAGUGUGUAAACAUGAUGCAUAUUACGUAAUGCACCUCACCUAUACUCGUUCACCUGUUGAUUGAGAUGCAUUUUUUUUGCGUGAAUUUUUCUCAACUUUUUCGGGGGAAUAAUUCCCGUUCGACGUGUGUAUCGGUAUCGACGAGCGUUCGACGUUUUUCCAAUAAUAACUCCUGCCAAUAAUAUCUAUCGGGGCCCCCUUCGCCGCGUCACCUCCUCCACCUCUCCACCUUCGCGCAUAUUUAUAAAUCGGAGAAGUUGAGCUUUGGAAAUUGUAAAAGUACACCAGCAGCGCGCGCGCUUUGUGUGCUGCCAAAAACAACUCUCGCAAAAUGUCUGUUCAAUGUCUAAUGUUUCGGGGGGGCAAUAUUGCCCGAUUCGAUUCGUGCGCGGGUGAUACGCGUGACAUAUUCGCUCCGAAUUGCUUUUUCUAUAUUUAUAACGCAAUUAUUUGUUGUGUGUUUCAGGAAAGGAUACGCCACACACAAAGACUUCGCAAUGUGGGUUAAAAGUUAAAAGUCGUGCGCGCACGCGCAUUUGAAUCUCGAGAUUCAACUCCAACUCCUCCAUCACAAUUAGAACACUCUGCACGGAACAUUACCCUCGGUGUGCAAUGCCGUGCACUUCAACUCUGCGGAUGUCUUUAUAUUAUUUUUAUUUUCGUUUCGAAUGUGUAUAACCACCUGUUGGUCGCAUCGUCGCUGCCGCUCGGGGUGAUGCCGGCGAGCUUGAAAUUUUGCCCUCCCUGUUUUCGCGGCGCGCGUGCCGCUCGAUUGCUCCGCGUGCGCACGCCUGGGUGAGCAAAGUUUCAGGUGUGUCGGCGUCGUGCCCCCAUGCAACAACAACGCAACGCACUCCCUCGCAAUACAUCGGCAGGUGUACGCAUCGAAAAAUAACAAAAAAAAAACAACUCAACGAAGAGUUUCAUUUUGGCCACGCUUGAACUUUGUUUUUGCCUGUGUUUGCCAGGUGAGCAAAGAUUCAGGUGUGUCUAGAGCUCUUUUACGCUGCACAACAAGAUCAUAUACAUCAUAUGGAUACUACAUGUGUUACAUAACCUCUAAAAUGAAUACCAAUGAAAAAUAAAGUUUUUCCUGAAUCGUAUCUUGUUUUUCACUCGAGAGAUUCACAACAUUCAUAUUUAAAUAACAACACGUCUGUUUGUAAAUAUAUGUAAAACAUCACACAAGUGCAAAAAUACAUCUUGAAUUUAA